UUUAUUGUAAAUGGAAGGUUUGAGUAGUAAUAGAGUUCUUGAAACUAAAAGAAUUUGGCGGUAUUUAAGUCUGUUUAGAGGAAUCUGUAUAUUAAUCGAUGUUCCCCGAAGAUCUUACUUAGGAAUAAUUAAUUUGUAUAUCGUUGUCAUCAGAAUAAUUUUGGAGAAUGUUUUCUUAAUAUUUAGAAUUAGAAUGUCAAAUCAAGGUGCAGUUUAUAUCUAAGUUUAUAUGGAUUACAAUAUUGGGGAAUAGAAUGGAUUAUUUCUUGGAAUUGAGAUUUAUGAAGGUGGAUUUAGAUGUAAUUUUUUAAUAGUAAGGAGAGAUGAAUUAGUACUAAAAUAUGC
rnacentral:rRNA from 1 species